AAACAAAAGAAGAAAAAUA
rnacentral:sRNA from 1 species